rnacentral:rRNA from 1 species
GAUGAACGCUGGCGGCGUGCCUAAUACAUGCAAGUCGAGCGAACAGACGAGGAGCUUGCUCCUCUGACGUUAGCGGCGGACGGGUGAGUAACACGUGGAUAACCUACCUAUAAGACUGGGAUAACUUCGGGAAACCGGAGCUAAUACCGGAUAAUAUAUUGAACCGCAUGGUUCAAUAGUGAAAGACGGUUUUGCUGUCACUUAUAGAUGGAUCCGCGCCGCAUUAGCUAGUUGGUAAGGUAACGGCUUACCAAGGCAACGAUGCGUAGCCGACCUGAGAGGGUGAUCGGCCACACUGGAACUGAGACACGGUCCAGACUCCUACGGGAGGCAGCAGUAGGGAAUCUUCCGCAGUGGACGAAAGCCUGACGGAGCAACGCCGCGUGAGUGAUGAAGGUCUUCGGAUCGUAAAACUCUGUUAUUAGGGAAGAACAAAUGUGUAAGUAACUAUGCACGUCUUGACGGUACCUAAUCAGAAAGCCACGGCUAACUACGU